UACGGAGGGAGCAAGCGUUACUCGGAAUUACUGGGCGUAAAGGGCGCGUAGGCGGGAUGGCAAGUCGGUCGUGAAAUCCCUCGGCUCAACCGAGGAACGUCGAUCGAUACUGCUGUUCUUGAGGAUUGCAGAGGAGACUGGAAUUCCCGGUGUAGCGGUGAGAUGUGUAGAGAUCGGGAGGAACACCGGUGGCGAAGGCGGGUCUCUGGGCAAUUCCUGACGCUGAGGCGCGAAAGCGUGGGGAGCGAACAGG
rnacentral:rRNA from 1 species